rnacentral:rRNA from 1 species
GACGAACGCUGGCGGCGUGCUUAACACAUGCAAGUCGAACGGUAAGGCCCUUCGGGGUACACGAGUGGCGAACGGGUGAGUAACACGUGGGUGAUUUGCCCUGCACUUCGGGAUAAGCCUGGGAAACUGGGUCUAAUACCGGAUAGGACCACUGCCUGCAUGGGUGGUGGUGGAAAGCUUUUGCGGUGUGGGAUGGGCCCGCGGCCUAUCAGCUUGUUGGUGGGGUGAUGGCCUACCAAGGCGACGACGGGUAGCCGGCCUGAGAGGGUGACCGGCCACACUGGGACUGAGAUACGGCCCAGACUCCGACGGGAGGCAGCAGUGGGGAAUAUUGCACAAUGGGCGCAAGCCUGAUGCAGCGACGCCGCGUGAGGGAUGACGGCCUUCGGGUUGUAAACCUCUUUCAGCACCGACGAAGCGCAAGUGACGGUAGGUGCAGAAGAAGGACCGGCCAACUACGUGCCAGCAGCCGCCGUAA